GAAAGGGGAGAAUUAAUGUGAAUUGCAGAAUUCAGUGAAUCAUCGAGUCUUUGAACGCACAUUGCGCCCCCUGGUAUUCCGGGGGGCAUGCCUGUCCGAGCGUCAUUGCUGCCCUCAAGCACGGCUUGUGUGUUGGGCUUCCGUCCCUGGCAACGGGGACGGGCCCAAAAGGCAGUGGCGGCACCAUGUCUGGUCCUCGAGCGUAUGGGGCUUUGUCACCCGCUCCCGUAGGUCCAGCUGGCAGCUAGCCUCGCAACCAAUCUUUUUAACCAGGUUGACCUCGGAUCAGGUAGGGAUACCCGCUGAACUUAAGC
rnacentral:misc_RNA from 1 species